rnacentral:rRNA from 1 species
AACGAACGCUGGCGGCAUGCCUAACACAUGCAAGUCGAACGAGACCUUCGGGUCUAGUGGCGCACGGGUGCGUAACGCGUGGGAAUCUGCCCUUGGGUUCGGAAUAACUUCGGGAAACUGAAGCUAAUACCGGAUGAUGACGUAAGUCCAAAGAUUUAUCGCCUUUGGAUGGGCCCGCGUUGGAUUAGCUAGUUGGUGGGGUAAAGGCCUACCAAGGCGACGAUCCAUAGCUGGUCUGAGAGGACGACCAGCCACACUGGGACUGAGACACGGCCCAGACUCCUACGGGAGGCAGCAGUGGGGAAUUUUGGACAAUGGGCGCAAGCCUGAUCCAGCAAUGCCGCGUGCAGGAUGAAGGCCUUCGGUUGUAAC